rnacentral:snoRNA from 1 species
AUCCCCUUGUAGUUCAUGAUCUACUGGGCGGGAGUUCACGCGUGUGUGUGAGAUGGGCUACCCUCCAACCUUGUUAAAAGAAAAGGAAGCUAAUGUAUUCGUCUGUAUCUGUGUGACG